UUUCACACAAAUAUAAGUUCUAUGAUUUUUUGCACCCAAGCAUUGAAGUAAAAACAUAAUCUCAUUGAAGUAACGAUACAUAAAUCAUAAUCUCACAUUAAAAAUAGUAAGUACAAUAGAAGACAUUUAAGCAUAAAAUUUAGUACCUCAUCACCUACCUCAAUUAUUUCUCAUAACAUGAUGGUUCCAAUUUCUUGGUCUAAAAUGAAAAAUCACCCAAUAACGAGUGAAGGAAAGAAAAAACCUAGAAAUCC